rnacentral:lncRNA from 1 species
UACAAUCUAAAAAAACAAAAGAGGGACUGAAUGCAAACUAAUUUUCAGCAAAAAUGCCCUAGUCCAUACCUAUAAAAGGCAUGCUAAAACCUGCCUUUAGGGGACUGAAAAAAAGGGAUAGGAAAUACGGAAUCAUUGGCGGCUGUAAAUUGACCAGGAAUUCUGACUGUCCUAUUGAAUUCUUAUUCUAAGGUGUAGGCUUGUUAUUCCAAAAGGAAAAAUCUAGUUCAAUUUUGAAAGAAUAGAUGGUGGAGUUUGAGUUUGAAAUGUUUGAUUCUUGAGAACUCGUUGGGUCAGCUGUCUGUGUGAAAUUGUUUUCCGGGCUGUAUUACCAUGUUUUUGAGUUCAAAUAAAUCCUUCUGCUAUCUAUUCUAUUAUUGUUGGAUUUGAGUCUAUGUGACUGGUUUUUGUUGCUGAUUCUGCUGUCUAUUUGCUGAUCAAUCACUCUUGCUUCUUUCCAUCUUCCAGGUAUUUUCCCUAGCUCAUAGUGGGAGACCAAUUGUUCAACUUGUAACAGUUGAAUGUGCUGAAAUGAAGACUGAGUUCAUGUUGACGUAUUCGUUUUACUCCCUUCUUGUUUUUAGUAUCUAGAUCUAGAAUUACUGAUGUGUAAGAGACUCCUAUAGAAUUUUCAUGGUGUGUAUUAAACUAAAAUUGGAAACCAUGGUUGUUAUGGUCUUGUUGCUUGUUAGCAUUUAGCUUUAGUACUUCUUAUCAGCAUGCAUAAAAUUAACAUCCAUACAGCAAUUUGAUUAGGAUUUAAUGUUAAGCUGUGUGUUUUAAAGAAUAUGGGAAUAAUCAGUAGCUUAAUUUAUAAGGGUGAUUUUUCUGGUCAUGCAUCUUCAUUAUUGCUAUCCCGUUGUAAAUAUUAGCUUAACUUCAUGGUUAUGGGUGUAACAUAUUAACACUGUGAUGAACUGAUUUUAAGAGGGUUAUUAGUUUAAUUGUUUUUGCAUUUUUAGUUUCGGACUUUCACUCUUGCAAUUUGCUCGUCAUGGUGUUAUGAAGAGGUGAAAUUAGUUUUAGAUACAUGUGGGAUGAGCAGCAAGUUUGAGCUAAGGAUGGAAAUGAUCUUUGCUCGAAUAUGGGCACAUUUUCAAGCCCAGGCAUCGACUAAAUGAAUUUGAAGGAAUUCUUUGCCUAAUGUGGGUCAAAAGGUCUAAAUCUGAAGAUAUAACUCUCACUUGCAUAUUCAUGGGUUGGCGUCAAUUUGCACUUAUAUUACUAUAGUUUGGACUAUUACCAUUGGAUCCGAACAACUUGGAUCGCAAGAACUAGGCCCAACGCUGGCCCAAUCACACCCAAACCCAGUUGUUAUUCACACUCAUAUUGGUCCACGAUGAUUGAUGUUAUUUGGAUGUCGUUAGCUCUGGGCCUUUGCUCCUUAUACCAUUUUGUAAUUUUACUGGUGUUGAUUCACAGGGUUUAACAUAUUUUGUUUGUUUAGGAAGCAAUACCAAUCCCUACAAAGUUUUAUUCAUUUAGCUGAGUCUCUUUAGUUGAUUAUGGAAUUGACUCAAUCAGAUAAUAAUAGUUUCUAGGUUCCUCUAAUUCCUUAAAAAUAAAUUGAGGUGCACUACUUAGCGAGUUUUCGUGGCCCUCGCAAACUUAAACAUACGAAAUUGCUUUAGGCCUCUUAGU